rnacentral:rRNA from 1 species
AGAGUUUGAUCCUGGCUCAGGAUGAACGCUAGCGACAGGCUUAACACAUGCAAGUCGAGGGGCAGCACAGGUAGCAAUACCGGGUGGCGACCGGCGCACGGGUGAGUAACGCGUAUGCAACUUACCUAUCAGAGGGGGAUAACCCGGCGAAAGUCGGACUAAUACCGCAUGAAGCAGGGGCCCCGCAUGGGGAUAUUUGCUAAAGAUUCAUCGCUGAUAGAUAGGCAUGCGUUCCAUUAGGCAGUUGGCGGGGUAACGGCCCACCAAACCGACGAUGGAUAGGGGUUCUGAGAGGAAGGUCCCCCACAUUGGUACUGAGACACGGACCAAACUCCUACGGGAGGCAGCAGUGAGGAAUAUUGGUCAAUGGGCGUAAGCCUGAACCAGCCAAGUCGCGUGAGGGAUGAAGGUUCUAUGGAUCGUAAACCUCUUUUAUAAGGGAAUAAAGUGCGGGACGUGUCCCGUUUUGUAUGUACCUUAUGAAUAAGGAUCGGCUAACUCCGUGCCAGCAGCCGCGGUAAUACGGAGGAUCCGAGCGUUAUCCGGAUUUAUUGGGUUUAAAGGGUGCGUAGGCGGCCUUUUAAGUCAGCGGUGAAAGUCUGUGGCUCAACCAUAGAAUUGCCGUUGAAACUGGGGGGCUUGAGUAUGUUUGAGGCAGGCGGAAUGCGUGGUGUAGCGGUGAAAUGCUUAGAUAUCACGCAGAACCCCGAUUGCGAAGGCAGCCUGCCAAGCCAUGACUGACGCUGAUGCACGAAAGCGUGGGGAUCAAACAGGAUUAGAUACCCUGGUAGUCCACGCAGUAAACGAUGAUCACUAGCUGUUUGCGAUACACUGUAAGCGGCACAGCGAAAGCGUUAAGUGAUCCACCUGGGGAGUACGCCGGCAACGGUGAAACUCAAAGGAAUUGACGGGGGCCC